rnacentral:lncRNA from 1 species
AUGGGAGAAGUGAAGAGUGAUGAGCAGAACAGGGUGGCGGAGGAGUUGGAAGUGAAGGCUCAGGCGGACACAACUACUACAACAGAGAGCGAAACGACAGACGCUAAGAAGGCAGCACCUACAGAAGCGAAGACGGAGCUCUCUGCCACAAUAGACUCUGUAGAGGCCGGAGAGAAGGGGGUAAAGAAGGAAACCUCUACCACAGCCGAGCGCACCGAUGUUGGGGAGAAGCUAGAGGCAAUCCUGGAGGAGGAUGCCUCUCCUUUGAAGGUCACUGAUAAUCCCACCGAGGUAACUGCCGUGGAGACAGAGGUCCAAUCAGAAACUCCACAGGAUGUAGUGGUGGGAAGCCUAUCAUCGGCCUUGGAGAUGGGACAGAAGGCCCAAUCCGAGACACCAGUACCAGACAGCACGUCGUCCAAAAAGAAAAAGAAGACCAAGAAGUCUAAAACGCCUGUACAGGAGGAGGGGGAAGCGGUAGCAGAACCAGAGACUAAUACAGAUGUGCCGGAGACUAGUGUGAAAGCCACGGAGACAGAAGACCAGCUUGCUCCUGCUACCCAGGACAGAGAGGGGGCUACAGAGCCAGAGAGCGCCCCGGAGACUGCUACUACCAGCACAACCAAGAGGAAGGGCAGGAGGAAGAGCACCAAGCAGGUGCCUGAGGAACAGACAACCGUGGAGGAGGUUGAGACGAAGCCAGAUGCUGUAGAAGAGAUCAUGGCCACCCCACUAAAGAAGACUAGGAGGAUGAAGGCUGAACAGAGUGCUGAGAGCACAAAGGAAGAGGUCGCUGAAACAGACUCAGCACCAGUAGACACGACACCAGCAGGCCCUAAACCGCUGGCCACUCCAGCUGAGGAGCCUCCAGCUGACGUCCACAUCGCCACCACUUUCCUGAAAAAGAAGAAACUAAAGGCGGUCGAGGGUGAAGAGGAGAGUGUGGAGGUCGAGGGUGAAAUGCAGCCAGAAACUGAAGAGGACGUCAUACUUGUAGUCGCUGAGACGGUGCCAGCAGAAGUCGCUACACCAAUCCUGCUCAAAAAGAAGACGGCCAAGGCUGAAGAACAGAGCGUGGAGGCCGAGGGUAAAUCAAGACUGCGGCAGACUCAAACCGUACACUUGUAG